AGGAAGAAGUGUAUUCAGCAUUCUACCUUCUUCCUGAUUCUGUGAGCUUAGACCUGCUUCCACUUUCAAUCUCUCUCAUUGCAGGCUGAAGAGGACUGGCCUUUCAGUGGCCCUCGUGGAACGGUAGGAAGCUGAGCUGGACUCUCUGCCACAUCGUUCGGUUCCCACAACAGCCUGGAUGAAGCAGCAGCAGAAAAAAUGGAAGCCAUUUUGGUUAACGGGUCACAUCUUAGCAGUUGGCAGCGUAAGAAGCGGAAGGAUCCACUGGUCAGAAAUGGAGAUUGAGGAGAAGCUGAGAGCACGGAGGGCUUCAGGGGAGAGCCUGUCCUUUGGAAAAGCGGGCAAUUUGCACUCGUGGUAGAUGAGUGGGGAGGCCGCUCAGUCUCUCUGCCCCUUUGCACAUGCUGCACCCGUUUAGUUUGACGUCGUGGAGAGCUCCUCCAGGCACGGGCUGUGUGAAAGGGUUUAAAAGUUUGGGGGCAUGGCUGGGGGUCCCCGCAUGAGGGGUGCUGUGUAGGCUCCCAUCUUUUCUGCCGGUCAUGCUGGGAGCCAACAGCACCGGCUCCUGACGUGGGGACUUGCCCUGUGCCAUGACGUGGGGACUCGCCCUGUGCCCUGCGCCCCGGUUCCUGCUGGUUCUGUGCCUUCUGGACUCAUUUCCUUUCCAGGGUCCGCAACCGCUUCCGACACAAUCACUAUUUUGGCUGCGGCCACGGCUUCAUUCGCUUCAGCUGCGAGCUUUUCUCAGCGCAGAGAGCACAGGGAAGCUGGGAGGAGUCCGCCUAGAUGGGAAUCUUCCAGAAGCAACAUGACUCUUUUAGGCCUUUGCUGCCAGCUAAGAAGGUGAAGAAAAGUCACCACUGCAAUAAAAAGAGGGCACUUUGUCUUACUUGGCAAUAAACCACCACCAGCAGCAGCAGCAAUAGCAGCACCCCCACCCCCACCAAACCCAAAACAAACAAGAAAAGCAAAAGGAAACCUGUCGUUUUCAGUGAGAGGAUUGGCAUGAAGAAUCCUUGGGACACAGGAAUCAAUCAAGACCUUUGGAUGCCCCUGCCUGCUCUGUCUCUAGAAGCCUCAAGCCCAGCAUCCCCAUGCCGACGUGCUCAUCUCUAGCAAAACACCAGCCUCUCAGCCCUCUCUCCAUAAAGGCCACUAGAAAGUACUGUGAUGCCAGGCUGCUCCACAUCCAGGCAGCCUGGGUGACCACUGCCCUUUAUGAGAAUCAGAAAAAGCUGUCUCCCGAGUAGUUGGAAUUACAGGUGCAUGCCACCAUGCCUGGCUAAUUUUUGUAUUUUUAGUAGAGAUGGAGUUUCACUAUGUUGGCCAGGCUGCUCUUGAACUCCUGACCUCAAAUGAUCCACCCGACUCGGCCUCCCAAAGAGCUGGAAUUACAGGAGAAGCUAAACGUUUUAAAAUAAGUAUAUUAUUUCUGAAUUACUAUAACAGACAUGGACUCCAUUUGAACAAGAUACUUAAUUCCAUCAAAAACUUGUCAAAAUAUACAAAUUUAGUCACAAGACACUUUACUACCAUCUACCAAAGCUGUAGUAAACACACACAUUUUCCAUCUUUGAAAUGAAAUAACGUAUAAUAAUGUUUUCCAAAAUAACAAAGAUGUCUGCAGUGAAUAGCACUCCCUUUGAUGUGGCAACUGGGUCAAUCGUGUUAACAACUGUGAAUUCAUCUUUUUAAGAAAUUCUUUUAUUGUUUCUUUUCUUUUCCGCGACAGUCUCACUCGUGUUGCCCCGGCUGGAGUGCAGUGGCGCUAUCUUGGCUCACUGCAGCCUCCGCCUCCCGGGUUCAAGCAAUUCUCAUGCCUCAGCCUCCUGAGUAGCUGGGAUUAUAGGCACGUGCCACCACACCCAGCUAAUUUUUUUGUAUUUUUAGUAGAGACGGGGUUUGACCAUGUUGGUCAGGGUGGUCUCGAAUUCCUGACCUCAGUUGAGCCGCCGGCCUCGGCCUCCCAGGAAGUGCUGGGAUUACAGGCAUGAGCCACCAGGCCCGGCCUUAUUGUUUCUAUUUGUAAUAAAUCUGUUCCCCUUGC
rnacentral:lncRNA from 1 species